rnacentral:rRNA from 1 species
AGUAUCGUACGAAUAAGGAUCGGCUAACUCCGUGCCAGCAGCCGCGGUAAUACGGAGGAUUCAAGCGUUAUCCGGAUUUAUUGGGUUUAAAGGGUGCGUAGGCGGUUUGAUAAGUUAGAGGUGAAAUUUCGGGGCUCAACCCUGAACGUGCCUCUAAUACUGUUGAGCUAGAGAGUAGUUGCGGUAGGCGGAAUGUAUGGUGUAGCGGUGAAAUGCUUAGAGAUCAUACAGAACACCGAUUGCGAAGGCAGCUUACCAAACUAUAUCUGACGUUGAGGCACGAAAGCGUGGGGAGCAAACAGGAUUAGAUACCCUGGUAGUCCACGCAGUAAACGAUGAUAACUCGUUGUCGGCGAUACACAGUCGGUGACUAAGCGAAAGCGAUAAGUUAUCCACCUGGGGA